rnacentral:rRNA from 1 species
AUGGUCGGCCCCUCACCGUCGCCGUCCGGCAGCAGCCGCCGUCUGUCGGAGCUCCUGGAGGAACAGCAAGAGCCCUUCUCCCUUCACCCCUACCUCCUCGAGAAGGGCUGCUCCCCCACCACCCUGGACCCGGCCGGAGGCUGCGGCGUUGCGUCCUUACCUUGCUGGCCGAGGAGCAGAGGCACCUCCCCGGCGCCGAGGCGGGUGACGGUCAGCAAGAGAACGCCCGCCAGCGGCCUCCUCUCCAAGUUCCUCCACGGCACGGCGGCGCCUGCAUCCACGAAAAGAAAGAAGAAACUGCGGUCGGCCGCCAUUGGCCCGUGCUCCGUCGAAGGCGAGAAGACGGCGAGCAAAAGAAAGAACGCCGUCGAGGCACGCAGGGCUGAAGCAAAGGACGACGAGGGAGAAAGCUACGACGACGACGACGACGACUCGUCAAAGCAGCUGAGCCCUGUGUCCGUCUUGGAGCGCCGGCCAUUCGAGAAGCCGCCGCGGGCGUACGCCGAGAGUAAGCAAGCACGCAGCCCCCAUGUCUCUUACCCCGCGCCAUUGGUCGUCCAUCGUGCACUGUCGCACUGAGCUCACGCAGCAAUACUUGCGACCAUCGCAGAGGCCAUCGUCGUCUUGAGGGAGCUCCUGGACGCGGCACGCAAGCCCGCGUUGCUCCAGCGGAAAGUUGCCAUAGAAAGCAGCAAGUCCGGCGAUGUCCUCAUGGAGACUUCAACAACGACGACGACGACGCCGGCGCCGCCCCCCGCACCGGCGCCCGCGAGGACCGACCGUGCUACCAGCGUAGCACAUUUGAACCAGAUGUUUGAGGCCAAGGAGCACGACCUCGUACCGUUGGACAUGCCCGGUGAGAGGGGGGAUGCUGGGCUGGGGCGGUGGGACGUCGGUGCCGAGCUAGCGGUUGCUGUGCUCGAAGAGCUGACGGAGGAGGUGGUGGUGGAGCUGAUGGGGAUGGUCCACCAUGAAGAUGCCAAUACCAUCGACGUGAAGCAGUGUUGGUUGCUACCGAACUGCUGA